AGCAGAGCGAGGGAGCGGGCGAGAGUAAUGGUCGCCUUAUUUGUUGUGGUCUGCACUUCUUGGCCUCUUCCUCUCAUCUUUACAUUGCUUGCCUCUGUUCCCGGACAUGUCAUGAGCCAGGGAGUGAUGCUGCUAAGACCUUCACUGUCUAUCCAGAGGGAUCCACAGGUGCUGGUGGUGGAAUCUUGCUUGGACAGUGUGGAUGGCAAGCAGUCAGGGUUCCAGUCAAAGGUGGUGGUGAUCCAUGCCCAGGACACCAGGGAGGAUGCACUGCAGCUUGCAUCUCAGCUGAGGAAUCCCAUGGAGGGCAACAGAUUGUAUGUGUUGCUUCUGCAAGAGUCUAAGAAGAACACACAAGUUAAGAGCAGCCUGAGGUGUGAUCCAUGGAACAGCAUCCACAAGUGGUUCAUCAAGGUUGAUGCUGUGCUGCCGGUACUGUCGCCUCAGCUUCUGCGUCAGAUUCAGAACAGAGACUUCAGCAGAGAGAGUGAGUGGGAGAAACGCUACAACCGCUUUGCCCACUCGAUGAUGCUAGACCAGCAUGUGGAGUACGGGAGCAAGAAUGGGUUCUGCCGUGCCGUUUGUCCUGCCAGAUUCCCGGAGGAGACACACUUCAGUCACAAGAUGAAUGCAGUCAGCUACAGCAUGACAUAGACAAGCUAUAGACAGUUGAGAGAGGAAGAAGUCAGUGGCACCCUCACCUCAGACAAGACAAAGCUAACAAUUGAUAAUGAAAGACACACUUCAGUCACAAGAUGAAUGCAGUCAGCUACAGCAUGACAUAGACAAGCUAUAGACAGUUGAGAGAGGAAGAAGUCAGUGGCACCCUCACCUCAGACAAGACAAAGCUAACAAUUGAUAAUGAAAGACACACUUCAGUCACAAGAUGAAUGCAGUCAGCUACAGCAUGACAUAGACAAGCUAUAGACAGUUGAGAGAGGAAGAAGUCAGUGGCACCCUCACCUCAGACAAGACAAAGCUAACAAUUGAUAAUGAAAGACCAGCAGCAGCAGCAGCAGCAGCAGCAGCAGCAGCACACAAGAGGUGUUUUCUGUAUGAUGAUGAUGAUGGAAAAAGCACAUCUCGAAAGGAUGUUAUAAGCAGGGCAACGUAAUGAAAUUCAGUGAAUGGACGUGUGUGCGUGGCUGCAAUCACUAUGAAAUUAAGUUGAAAAUAAGAAAUAUAUUACUUUACAGAAAGGAAUGCUUAGAGUGAAUGAAAUUACUGUAAUGAAUGAAUGGAAAUAAAGUUGUGAGUCAUUAAAUGAUUAGGAAAAGAAGCUGUGAAUAGGUGCAUUAUUGUUAUUACUGAAAGGAAGAAUAUUUGUAGGAUAUGUCAUGUAUAUUAUCAAAGUGUUUUCAUUCUUACUUUCUUCUUUCUCUUUCAUCUUUUCUUAGUAUAUUUAAGUGAAUUUCUCUCUCUCUCUCUCUCUCUCUCUCUCUCUCUCUCUCUCUCUCUCUCUCUCUCUCUCUCUCUCUCUCUCUCUCUCUCUCUCUCUC